rnacentral:lncRNA from 1 species
UCCACAGGGCAUGAAAGUCACCCCACCUUCUAAAGGUCAGAAAUUACCAUGGGAUUAUGACCUUUGUAUUUAUGAUGGCUUCAUAGACAAGACAGCCCCAGACUUCAUAGCAUUCAAAGAGCAUUUUAACUUAGCUUGGGGGAGUAUUUUUUCUCUCUUGGAACAUAUCGAGAAGUUUCUCAGGGACUAUGCAAUACCAGAAGUCAAAAUCAAAGGGAAGAACUUGCUGGCCCUCCUUCCAGAGUUUGAGCUGAAUAAUAAACUUACCCGAUACAACCUGCUCUCACUGCUGGAGAACCCAGUUCACGUCCAAAUGCUGUUAAAUCGCCCAGGACAGAGGUUCAAGGGCCAAGGUGGGAAGGCAGAAGCUGCCGUCAAGAUCCAAGCUACAUGGAAAUGCUACAAAGCAAGAAAAUACUUCCUUGUUUACCGUCAGCAGAAGUGGGCGUCAGGUGUGAUCGCCCUUGCUUGGCUUUUACGUUGCCAUAAGACCCGAGUGAAGAAGAUCCUGAAGGAAUCGCGGCAGAGACACCUGG